UAUAGGGGUGCCUUGUUAUUUGCAAACACAAAGAAAGGCUGAGAUUAUACCCGGUAUCGGAUUUUACGCCGAUGCGCACCUGAUCUGGAUAAUGCCAGCGUAGGGAAGGGAGGUUAA
rnacentral:ncRNA from 1 species